AGGAAAUCAGUCAGCUGAGGAAGAAAGACUCUGAUUUAAAGGAGCUGGUGACAUGUCAGGACAAUAUCUACUUUCUCAAGACGUAUCAGUGUCUUUGCUCUCCGGAGCUCAGUGAGCUCGGCGAUUUCACGGUCAAUCUGGAUUCCACGUUUGAUCCUGUACAAACCAUCGUUUCGGAUCUCAGGGAGAAAGUGGAGAACACGUGCAACCAAGAGCUGGACAAAAUUAACAAGACAGUGUUCAACACAGCGCCGUUCACAGUGACUGAGCGACAGAGCGGACAGAAGCCGGCCAUUUUAAAAUGUGAGUAAAGUCCACUACUGAUAGACAGACAGAUAGAUAGAUAGAUAGAUAGAUAGAUAGAUAGACAGACAGACAGACAGACAGACAGAUAGAUAGAUAGAUAGAUAGAUAGAUAGAUAGAUAGAGUGCACAAGCAUGUGUAUCCAGAAUAAUAACAAUAAACAUAAACAUAUUCAGAAGUAACUUAUA
ensembl:lncRNA